rnacentral:rRNA from 1 species
UUUAAAGAGAGUUUGAUCCUGGCUCAGGACGAACGCUGGCGGCGUGCCUAAUACAUGCAAGUCGAACGAACGGAGGAAGAGCUUGCUCUUCCAAAGUUAGUGGCGGACGGGUGAGUAACACGUGGGCAACCUGCCUGUAAGUUGGGGAUAACUCCGGGAAACCGGGGCUAAUACCGAAUGAUAAAGUGUGGCGCAUGCCACGCUUUUGAAAGAUGGUUUCGGCUAUCGCUUACAGAUGGGCCCGCGGUGCAUUAGCUAGUUGGUAGGGUAAUGGCCUACCAAGGCAACGAUGCAUAGCCGACCUGAGAGGGUGAUCGGCCACACUGGGACUGAGACACGGCCCAGACUCCUACGGGAGGCAGCAGUAGGGAAUCUUCCGCAAUGGACGAAAGUCUGACGGAGCAACGCCGCGUGUAUGAAGAAGGUUUUCGGAUCGUAAAGUACUGUUGUUAGAGAAGAACAAGGAUAAGAGUAACUGCUUGUCCCUUGACGGUAUCUAACCAGAAAGCCACGGCUAACUACGUGCCAGCAGCCGCGGUAAUACGUAGGUGGCAAGCGUUGUCCGGAUUUAUUGGGCGUAAAGCGCGCGCAGGCGG